rnacentral:lncRNA from 1 species
AAGCAUCUCAACCAUAUGAUCCAUUUAAAUUGUUUUAAUCCUUUGCAUUGGUUCUAAUUACCACAUGUGCUUCUCAGUUGACUAAGAUCCAUGUAGAAUGCGCGCGCUGAUCCAUCUGAUCUGCCACCUCAAUUAAUGAGGGAGAUCAGAUGGUCCACGUUUUUUUUGAAUUUCUGUUAAUUUCUUUUAUUUGCAUUAUUUUCAUUCAUUCAUAUUAAUUUUAUUAUUGAUCCAAAAAAUAUGGGACUUUCACCAAAAAAAU